UCUUUAGUAGUCUAGUGGUUAAGACUCAGUGCUUUCACUGCUGUGGCCCAGGUUCGAUCCCUGGUCAGGGAA
rnacentral:tRNA from 1 species